AACCAGCACCUCAAGUGGUCAGGAUGAUUAUUGGGCCUAAAGCAUCCGUAGCCGGCUCUGUAAGUUUUCGGUUAAAUCUGUACGCUCAACGUACAGGCUGCCGGGAAUACUGCAGAACUAGGGAGUGGGAGAGGUAGACGGUACUCGGUAGGAAGUGGUAAAAUGCUUUGAUCUAUCGAUGACCACCUGUGGCGAAGGCGGCUUCCUGGACAGUGAUUGACGCUGAGGUGCGAAAGCGUGGGUAGCAAACAGG
rnacentral:rRNA from 1 species